rnacentral:rRNA from 1 species
UACGUAGGGUGCAAGCGUUAAUCGGAAUUACUGGGCGUAAAGCGUGCGCAGGCGGUUUUGCAAGACAGAUGUGAAAUCCCCGGGCUCAACCUGGGAACUGCAUUUGUGACUGCAAGGCUAGAAUCUGGCAGAGGGGGGUAGAAUUCCACGUGUAGCAGUGAAAUGCGUAGAUAUGUGGAGGAAUACCGAUGGCGAAGGCAGCCCCCUGGGCUAAGAUUGACGCUCAUGCACGAAA